rnacentral:rRNA from 1 species
GGGUUGUGAGGUUAAGCGACUAAGCGUACACGGUGGAUGCCCUGGCAGUCAGAGGCGAUGAAGGGCGUGCUAAUCUGCGAUAAGCGCCGGUAAGGUGAUAUGAACCGUUAUAACCGGCGAUACCCGAAUGGGGAAACCCAGUGUGAUUCGUCACACUAUCAUUAACUGAAUCCAUAGGUUAAUGAGGCGAACCGGGGGAACUGAAACAUCUAAGUACCCCGAGGAAAAGAAAUCAACCGAGAUUCCCCCAGUAGCGGCGAGCGAACGGGGAGGAGCCCAGAGCCUGAAUCAGCAUGUGUGUUAGUGGAAGCGUCUGGAAAGGUGCGCGAUACAGGGUGACAGCCCCGUACACAAAAGCGCAUGUGCUGUGAGCUCGAUGAGUAGGGCGGGACACGUGGUAUCCUGUCUGAAUAUGGGGGGACCAUCCUCCAAGGCUAAAUACUCCUGACUGACCGAUAGUGAACCAGUACCGUGAGGGAAAGGCGAAAAGAACCCCGGCGAGGGGAGUGAAAAAGAACCUGAAACCGUGUACGUACAAGCAGUGGGAGCACAGGUUUACCUGUGUGACUGCGUACCUUUUGUAUAAUGGGUCAGCGACUUAUAUUCUGUAGCAAGGUUAACCGUAUAGGGGAGCCGUAGGGAAACCGAGUCUUAACCGGGCGUUAAGUUGCAGGGUAUAGACCCGAAACCCGGUGAUCUAGCCAUGGGCAGGUUGAAGGUUGGGUAACACUAACUGGAGGACCGAACCGACUAAUGUUGAAAAAUUAGCGGAUGACCUGUGGCUGGGGGUGAAAGGCCAAUCAAACCGGGAGAUAGCUGGUUCUCCCCGAAAGCUAUUUAGGUAGCGCCUCGUGAAUUCAUCUCCGGGGGUAGAGCACUGUUUCGGCUAGGGGGCCAUCCCGGCUUACCAACCCGAUGCAAACUGCGAAUACCGGAGAAUGUUAUCACGGGAGACACACGGCGGGUGCUAACGUCCGUCGUGAAGAGGGAAACAACCCAGACCGCCAGCUAAGGUCCCAAAGUCAUGGUUAAGUGGGAAACGAUGUGGGAAGGCCCAGACAGCCGUGAUGUUGGCUUAGAAGCAGCCAUCAUUUAAAGAAAGCGUAAUAGCUCACUGGUCGAGUCGGCCUGCGCGGAAGAUGUAACGGGGCUAAACCAUGCACCGAAGCUGCGGCAGCGAACGUAUCACCCAAGACAACUUUACGGAGUUGACGAUUGACGGAGCGAAGCGACGUCAAAGCGUUCAUUAAAGUCGAGUUGGCUUAGGGAUACGUUCGUUGGGUAGGGGAGCGUUCUGUAAGCCUGUGAAGGUGUGUCGUGAGGCAUGCUGGAGGUAUCAGAAGUGCGAAUGCUGACAUAAGUAACGAUAAAGCGGGUGAAAAGCCCGCUCGCCGGAAGACCAAGGGUUCCUGUCCAACGUUAAUCGGGGCAGGGUGAGUCGACCCUAAGGCGAGGCCGAAAGGCGUAGUCGAUGGGAAACGGGUUAAUAUUCCCGUACUUGGUGUUACUGCGAAGGGGGGACGGAGAAGGCUAUGUUGGCCGGGCGACGGUUGUCCCGGUUUAAGCGUGUAGGUGUGUGUUCCAGGUAAAUCCGGUUCACUUUAACACUGAGGCGUGACGACGAGGCACUACGGUGCUGAAGCAACAAAUGCCCUGCUUCCAGGAAAAGCCUCUAAGCAUCAGGUAACACGAAAUCGUACCCCAAACCGACACAGGUGGUCAGGUAGAGAAUACCAAGGCGCUUGAGAGAACUCGGGUGAAGGAACUAGGCAAAAUGGUGCCGUAACUUCGGGAGAAGGCACGCUGACACGUAGGUGAAGUGAUUUACUCAUGGAGCUGAAGUCAGUCGAAGAUACCAGCUGGCUGCAACUGUUUAUUAAAAACACAGCACUGUGCAAACACGAAAGUGGACGUAUACGGUGUGACGCCUGCCCGGUGCCGGAAGGUUAAUUGAUGGGGUCAGCGUAAGCGAAGCUCCUGAUCGAAGCCCCGGUAAACGGCGGCCGUAACUAUAACGGUCCUAAGGUAGCGAAAUUCCUUGUCGGGUAAGUUCCGACCUGCACGAAUGGCGUAAUGAUGGCCAGGCUGUCUCCACCCGAGACUCAGUGAAAUUGAACUCGCUGUGAAGAUGCAGUGUACCCGCGGCAAGACGGAAAGACCCCGUGAACCUUUACUAUAGCUUGACACUGAACAUUGAGCCUUGAUGUGUAGGAUAGGUGGGAGGCUUUGAAGUGUGGACGCCAGUCUGCAUGGAGCCGACCUUGAAAUACCACCCUUUAAUGUUUGAUGUUCUAACGUGGACCCGUAAUCCGGGUUGCGGACAGUGUCUGGUGGGUAGUUUGACUGGGGCGGUCUCCUCCUAAAGAGUAACGGAGGAGCACGAAGGUUGGCUAAUCCUGGUCGGACAUCAGGAGGUUAGUGCAAUGGCAUAAGCCAGCUUGACUGCGAGCGUGACGGCGCGAGCAGGUGCGAAAGCAGGUCAUAGUGAUCCGGUGGUUCUGAAUGGAAGGGCCAUCGCUCAACGGAUAAAAGGUACUCCGGGGAUAACAGGCUGAUACCGCCCAAGAGUUCAUAUCGACGGCGGUGUUUGGCACCUCGAUGUCGGCUCAUCACAUCCUGGGGCUGAAGUAGGUCCCAAGGGUAUGGCUGUUCGCCAUUUAAAGUGGUACGCGAGCUGGGUUUAGAACGUCGUGAGACAGUUCGGUCCCUAUCUGCCGUGGGCGCUGGAGAACUGAGGGGGGCUGCUCCUAGUACGAGAGGACCGGAGUGGACGCAUCACUGGUGUUCGGGUUGUCAUGCCAAUGGCACUGCCCGGUAGCUAAAUGCGGAAGAGAUAAGUGCUGAAAGCAUCUAAGCACGAAACUUGCCCCGAGAUGAGUUCUCCCUGAGACUUAGAGUCUCCUGAAGGAACGUUGAAGACGACGACGUUGAUAGGCCGGGUGUGUAAGCGCAGCGAUGCGUUGAGCUAACCGGUACUAAUGAACCGUGAGGCUUAACCUUACAACGCCGAAG